rnacentral:lncRNA from 1 species
ACGGAAGGCCUCAAUGCCCUCUGGGAAAUGUAGUCCAACUAUCACGUGGGCGGCCCAAGAGCGGAGACUCCAUUUCCCGAAAUGCCUCCAGAGAUCCCGCGUUGGAGCCAGAAUGGCCGCUCUAGGCCAUCCCAUUCGGCUUUUCGCAGAGCCUGAUGCAUUGUGGUCAUUGUUCCUCUUACCAUUGGAAUGCCAAGCAGCCGUCCCUCCUUAAAGCUGCAGGGCAGCGCCUGAUGGAAAGGAACCAGUCCUGGAGCUUCUGGGGAUCCAGCAAGUCUUGACCAUCUGGCGGAGUAGAGAGCAUUGGCAUGAAGUCAUAACGGUCAGCGAGCGAGGAGGAGGUGACCACGGAAGACUUGGCCUUCACCUCUGGGGAGAGAGAUAAGCUUCUUCAAGACUUUCCCCUUCCCCAAAACAAGAGAAUGGAGGAUGAGGAGGAAAUGAUUGCUGGGCUUGUCACGGCCAGGGCUCAGGAAUCGGUGUCAUUCAGGGAUGUUGCCAUACACUUCACCCAGGAGGAAUGGAGCCAUCUUCAUCCAGCUCAGAAGGACCUGUACCGGCGUGUGAUGCAGGAGAACUAUGAGAACCUCGUCUCACUGGGUAAGGGGGGCUCUGGCCUUGGACGCAGAACCUCUGGCCAAAAAGCUUAGCUGAGGUUGGGCUGCCUCGUCAGGGCUAUUCGAGAGCUCGGGGCAUGUGGAGAGAAUCCCAGAUCCC